UACGGAAGGUCCGGGCGUUAUCCGGAUUUAUUGGGUUUAAAGGGAGCGUAGGCCGGAGAUUAAGCGUGUUGUGAAAUGUAGACGCUCAACGUCUGCACUGCAGCGCGAACUGUUUUCCUUGAGUACGCACAAAGUGGGCGGAAUUCGUGGUGUAGCGGUGAAAUGCUUAGAUAUCACGAAGAACUCCGAUUGCGAAGGCAGCUCACUGGAGCGCAACUGACGCUGAAGCUCGAAAGUGCGGGUAUCGAACAGG
rnacentral:rRNA from 1 species